ACCGAGCGCGGCCCCUUCGGGGUGCCAACCUCCCACCCGUGACUACCGUACCACGUUGCUUCGGCGGGCCCGCCCCCCUGUUCGGGGGGGCCGUCGGGGGGCACCUGCCCCCGGGCGUGCGCCCGCCGGGGACCCCAACACGAACGCUGUCUGAAGGACUGCUGUCUGAGUGUGGAUUUAUAAUCAGUCAAAACUUUCAACAACGGAUCUCUUGGUUCCGGCAUCGAUGAAGAACGCAGCGAACUGCGAUAAGUAGUGUGAAUUGCAGAAUUCAGUGAAUCAUCGAGUCUUUGAACGCACAUUGCGCCCCCUGGCAUUCCGGGGGGCAUGCCUGUCCGAGCGUCAUUGCUACCCUCAAGCACGGCUUGUGUGUUGGGCCGCCGUCCGCCCCGCCCCGCGGGGGGGACGCGCCCGAAAGGCAGCGCCGGCACCGCGUCCGGUCCUCGAGCGUAUGGGGCUUCGUCACCCGCUCCGUGGGACCGGCCGGCGCCAGGCUUCGUCAACCACUUCUUUUCUAGGUUGACCUCGGAUCAGGUAGGGAUACCCGCUGAACUUAAGCAUAUCAAUAA
rnacentral:sRNA from 1 species